AAAGAAGCAUGGUUUUUCAAACAGUAUGCUUCACUUUGGUGUUGUGUUCCAGUUUGCUGCUUUGUGGAACUAGAGCAGAAAACCCGGAGGAGGGCGGUCUCAAUUUCGCGCAGGCGAUACUAGCAGUAGAUGCACAGAAAGGGCAGUCUGGUAACAUAAACUACGACACCUUUUGCCAAAAGAAAGUCGACAAGACCCACGAUCAGUUGCUGGGAUGUCAGCUCCCGGCACCUAAUGCUGGCUUCGAGUUGCGCGUUUGUAAAUUGGAAACUGGUACGUAGUCUGUGGUUGUGAUAAUGGUGGUUGUGAGGGGUGAUAAUGGUGGUUGUGGGGGUGAUAAUAAUGGUUGUGAGGGGUGAUAAUGGUGGUUGUGCUGGUGAUAAUGGUGGUUGUGGGGGGUGAUAAUGGUGGUUGUGAUAAUGGUGGUUGUGGGGUGAUAAUGGUGGUGAUAAUGGUGGUUGUGGGGGUGAUAAUGGUGGUUGUGGGGGUGAUAAUGGUG